rnacentral:tRNA from 1 species
ACUUAAAUAGUUUAUUUAAAAUAUAGAUUUGUGGUGUCUUUGAUGCUUUAUGUUUUAAGUU